GCGCGGUUGGCGUAGUGGUACAACGCGUCACUCGAUUCUGGUGAAGAUCCCGGGUUCGAAUCCCGGACCGCGCA
rnacentral:tRNA from 2 species